GUUCCCAUCCAAUUACCAAAGUUAAGCAAUGUUGAGCUUGUUCAUUACUCGGAUGGGUGACCACUGGUGAAUAUCAGGUGCUGUA